UACGGAGGGGGCUAGCGUUAUUCGGAAUUACUGGGCGUAAAGCGCACGUAGGCGGCUUUGUAAGUUAGAGGUGAAAGCCUGGAGCUUAACUCCAGAAUUGCCUUUAAGACUGCAUCGCUUGAAUCCAGGAGAGGUGAGUGGAAUUCCGAGUGUAGAGGUGAAAUUCGUAGAUAUUCGGAAGAACACCAGUGGCGAAGGCGGCUCACUGGACUGGGUAUUGACGCUGAGGUGCGAAAGCGUGGGGAGCAAACAGG
rnacentral:rRNA from 1 species